GGGGGCGAUACGGCUUCGACGAGGGUGUGAAAUCGCAGGAUGCAUGUCGAGCACCAUCGACUCGUUAAUCCGAUGGAACAUCCGUUAACUGCGGAUACUAACUACGCUCUCGCAGCUUAAACAGCUGUGAGCGUCUGCCUUGGCCUUGCCUGGUGGUUGGGGGUCAGACGUCAUUAAGCAGGCUGGCGAUUUGGAUGGCGACUCGGCGUCCAGUCGUGAGAAAUACCGAGUCUGGUGUCCGGCAGUUUUUCGCCGCUUCUGCAUGCUGGACAUAAGACACUGGAAGCGGACACGCAUGUAGAUUCUUACGACAACGUGCUUUCGGACGCGGGUUCGACUCCCGCCGCCUCCACCA
rnacentral:tmRNA from 1 species